rnacentral:lncRNA from 1 species
AUGCAUUGUGAAACUACAGACUUGGUUUGUUUGCAAUUCAGCAAGUUCUCCCACAGCCUGAAACCUGAUCAAAUGCAACGUGGUUGGACUGGUGCCUUGUCAUGCUCCUGGAAUUCCCUCUCGUCCUGCUCCAUAGAAGGCUGCUUUCAGCUAUCCAAUGAUCCUACUGCCAGAGGGAGCAGAAAGAGAGCCAACAUUAUGGAUGUACUGCAGAGUUUCUUUUCUGUGAUGAUGAAGCUGUUGAGUUAGGAGCCAACCUUCUGCUUCUAGGUUUUAAUUCAUCUUGGCCUACUGUUCAGGUUCAAUGGUUCUCAGAACCUGGUUGCACCAAUUAGACCAGAAUCUCGGGAUCCCUGGGUGGCGCAGCGGUUUGUCACCUGCCUUUGGCCCAGGGCGCAAUCCUGGAGACCCGAGAUCGAAUCCCACGUCGGGCUCCCGGUGCAUGGAGCCUGCUUCUCCCUCUGCCUAUGUCUCUGCCUCUCUCUCUCUCUCUCUGUGACUAUCAUAAAUAAAUAAAUUAAUUAAUUAAAAAAAGAAAAAAACAGAAUCUCUGGGGGAAAGGACCCAGCCAUCAAUAUUUUUUAAAGGUCCUAAAUGAUUUUACUAUACAGGUAGGCUUCAGAGCCACUAGUUUUAGUGCAACUGUGAAUGGAUGCCUUCUAGAAGCUACUGCAUUAGAUGCCUCACUACCUGCUGACUUCUCCUUACAUCACCCAGAAUAAUUGUUUUUGUGUGUUGUUGUUCAGCAGUGAGAAAAGUGGCAUUAAGCUGAGAGUUCUCCAUUUUUCUCACAGCCUUCAUUUGCCUUUAGGUUUUUUUUUUCCCUUUGGAUAAAUGGAUAUUCAUGACAGUUUGCAAAUAUCUUUUCUAUUUACCACCUGCGGCAUUGUACUGCUUUCUGAAUAAUGGACUUUGUGAGUUAGUUAUUUGCAACAUAGCUAGCAGAUAUAUCUUUUGGCUGGAUUGUACUUUUGUCUAUUUUUUCAUUGCUGAUGUAGGAUUCUCUAUAUUUUUAUGUUCCUUUGAGUAUAUAAUUACCAGCUAAGGGAGGGAAAGAUGUUUAUGCUUUGUGAUUAUUAUCAUUUUGACUAUUAUAACUGCUGUAUAAUGAGUACAUAGUAUUAUCAGACACCAUAACUAUAAACCAUACAUGAAUUAUCACAUUUUUCCUUCACAAGAAUUUUGAGAGGUAGAUAAAGUAUCUCCAUUUUAUAAAUAAUUCUCUAGUUGUUAUUUUACAUGAAAACAUUCAGAUGAAUUAUGAAAAAUGACAAAAGGCACUCUAUCCAAUGAUUUACUAGUGAUGGAUUCCAGGGUAAAGAAGAGGGUAGAGAGAAAAAUUGAUGCAAGGUAUUCUACUACUGCAAAUUCAGGCUUUCCUAGGACCAGGCUCUAUAAGAGUCAAGCCUGGUGAUACAAUUGGAAACUACUCUCCAGCCAAUAUUAUCUAGAACCAGCCUAAUUAGCCCUGUUCCCUUUAUUCUUCCAGCAGUAAUUCCCAGCAUCCCUAGUGUCAUUGAUCUGAUGAUGAAUUUGGAAUUUGGUAUCCAUGUGAACAUUGAAAGUUAACGGAAUGAAUUAUUUUUUCUUCUUACCAUGUAUGGAUUACUUUGCUUGAAUGGUCCUUAACUCAAUUUCCUGGUGUCAGGCUCUCCUAUUAUUCUCCUCAGGAAAUGCAACCUCAAUUUGAAUCCCUGAGAAAUGACUAAGAGCCAUGAAUUUCUCAUUUUAUAUUUACCAGUACUUUUCUGAGUGGCUAGAUCUCGCUUCAGAGCUCUCUUGUUCCAUCUUUUCAAAAUAUUUUCAUUUUUAAAAUUUUAAUUUUUUACAGAUUUUUUCCUUAUCUAUUGAGUUAUAAUUGACAUACAAUACUAUAUUAGUUUUAGGUGUACAGUACAGUGAUUGACAUUUGUAUAUAUUGCUAAAUGGUCACCACAAUAAGUCUAGUCUGUACAAACUUAAUAUAAUAUUAUUGACUACACUUCCUAUGCUGUACCUUACAUCGCCAUGACUUUAUUACGGUUAUUUAUUGUAUAACCAAAAGUUUGUAUUUCUUAACCCCCUUCAACCCCCAUCACUCUUCCCUCUGGAAAUCACCAAACUAUUUUUUAGAUCUGUGGGUCUGGGUUAUGUUUUGUUUUGUUUUUUGGUUUGGUUUUAAAUUCCGUACAGAGGUGAAAUCAUGUGGUGUUAAUCUUUCUCUGUGUGACUUAUUUCACUUGACAUAAUAUUUUCAAGGUCCUUCCAUGUUGUCACAAAUGGUAAGAUCUCAUUUUUUAUGGCUGAGUAGAAUUCCAUUAUAUAUAUAUAUAAUGGAACAUCUUUAUAUAUACCACAUUAUAUAUAUAUAUAUAUACAUAUAUAUAUUUAUUUAUUUAUUUAUAUAUAUACCACAUCUUCUUUAUAUAUACCACAUUUUACACACACAUUUUCUUUUUUGUUGUUGUUGUUUUGUUUUUAUUGAAGUUUGAUUUGCCAACCUAUAGUAUAACUUGCUCAUCCUACCAAGUGCCCUCCUCAGUGCCCAUCACCCAGUUACCCCAACCCCCCACCCACUUCCCCUUCCACAACCCUCUGGUUCAUUACCCAGAGUUAGGAGUCUCUUAUGGUUUGUCUCCCUCUCUAAUUUUUCCCACUCAGUUCCCCUCCUUUCCCUUAUAAUCCCUUUCACUAUUUCUUAUAUUCCUCGUAUGAGUGAAACCAUAUAAUGAUUGCCCUUCUCCAAUUGACUUACUUCACUCAGCAUGAUACCCUCCAAUUCCAUCCACGUUGAAACAAAUAGUGGGUAUUCGUCCUUUCUGAUGGCUGAGUAAUAUUCCAUUGUGUACAUAUACCACAUCUUCUUUAUCCAUUCAUCUGUCGAAGGACAUAAUGGCUCCUUCCACAGUUUGGCUAUUGUGGACAUUGCUGCUAUAAACAUUGGGGUACAGGUGUUCCGGUGUUUCACUACAUCUGUAUCAUUGGAGUAAAUCCCCAGCAGUGCAUUGCUGGGUCGUAGGGUAGCUCUAUUUUUAAGUCUUUUAUAAGUAGUAUUUUUU